GACGAACGCUGGCGGCGUGGAUUAGGCAUGCAAGUCGAACGCGAACGUUUUCCUUCGGGAAAGCAAGUAGAGUGGCGGACGGGUGAGUAGCGCGUAGAUAAUCUACCUCUAAAUGGGGGACAGCCCCGGGAAACCGGGAUUAAUACCGCAUAAUAUCCGGCUAGUCCGGAUUAAAGAUGGCCUCUGAUUUAAGCUGUCGUUUAGAGAUGAGUCUGCGUCCUAUUAGCUAGUUGGUAAGGUAAUGGCUUACCAAGGCGAUGAUAGGUAGGCGGCCUUAACGGGUGGUCGCCCACACUGGGAUUGAGAUACGGCCCAGACUCCUACGGGAGGCAGCAGUCGAGAAUAGUCUACAAUGGACGAAAGUCUGAUAGUGCGACGCCGCGUGGAUGAAGAAGCAUUUCGGUGUGUAAAGUCCUUUUCUUUGUGAGCAAUGCUCCUAUAAUUAAUAGUUUUAGGAGAGAGAUAUUAGCAGAGGAAUAAGCUCCGGCUAACUCCGUG
rnacentral:rRNA from 1 species